rnacentral:rRNA from 1 species
UACGUAGGGUGCGAGCGUUGUCCGGAAUUAUUGGGCGUAAAGAGCUUGUAGGCGGUUUGUCGCGUCUGCCGUGAAAAUCCGGGGCUCAACCCCGGACUUGCGGUGGGUACGGGCAGACUAGAGUGUGGUAGGGGAGACUGGAAUUCCUGGUGUAGCGGUGAAAUGCGCAGAUAUCAGGAGGAACACCGGUGGCGAAGGCGGAUCUCUGGGCCGAUACUGACGCUGAGGAGCGAAAGCGUGGGGAGCGAAUAGG